GAUGAACGCUGGCGGCGUGCCUAAUACAUGCAAGUCGAGCGAACAGACGAGGAGCUUGCUCCUCUUACGUUAGCGGCGGAUGGGUGAGUAACACGUGGAUAACUUACCUAUAAGGCUGGCAUAACUUCGGGGAACCGGAGCUAAUAUCGGAUAUUAUAUUGAACUGCAUGGUUCAUUAGUGAAAGCGGGUUUUGCUGUCACUUAUAGAUGGAUCCGCGCCGCAUGAGCUAGUUGGUAAGGUAACGGCUUACCAAGGCAACGAUGCGUAGCCGACCUGAGAGGGUGAUCGGCCACACUGGAACUGAGACACGGUCCAGACUCCUACGGGAGGCAGCAGUAGGGAAUCUUCCGCAAUGGGCGAAAGCCUGACGGAGCAACGCCGCGUGAGUGAUGAAGGUCUUCGGAUCGUAAAACUCUGUUAUUAGGGAAGAACGAAAGUGUAAGAAACUAUGCACGUCUUGACGGUACCUAAUCAGAAAGCCACGGCUAACUACGUG
rnacentral:rRNA from 1 species